GGGUGCCAUCGUCGCUCGUGGAAGGUCUGCUCGCUUUUCGAUCCUCUUCUCCUCGAUGUCGAGUGCUUGCUCGGAACUGUUGGCAACGCCACUGCGAAGGGCUUCUCCGUCAUCGUCUCUGCUCGAGUUUUUGGUGCCCGUCUCUCUCUUCGAGUCUUCUCUCUCUCUUCGAGUUCUCUCUAUCCGAGGCUACGAGCUCUUUCUGUCUCUCUCUCACUGUGACGUUAUUCUCUGAUCGGCUGUGGAGUAUUCGCCGCGCCGUCAUCUUCCUCCCUUGCCGCCGAUGCUUACCUGGGUAUCCCUUCAAGUGUCCCAAGCUGCAGAUUACUCCUGAGAAUGGAUUAUCAGAGAGUGACACUGAUAAACUAUUGUCACUCCUCCGGGAUCAGAUAUGAUCUAUUUCUCUACUCGUAUGCUUCAAUGUUGUUGUUGAAUUGCUGACCUUUGGUGCAUUUAUUGUGUUGUAGGUAGUGUUGUAGUAAUAUUUAUGGCUAGGAUGAAAUAUUGGUUAGCCAUAGAAUGCCUUGAUAUUUUGGGUCUUUGGUGUCAAUGCUGAGAGUAAUUAAGAGCAAGCAUCUGUUAUGAUGCCCAAGUUGGUAGAAAGGGAGCCACAAGGUGGAAGAAGUAUCAAGUAUGUAUUAUUGAAUUAAAAGAUUUUUAAAAACGUAAUUUGUACAUUAUCUAAAGAAAGUUGAGGUAGAAUUCAAUAUUGAGGUAGUUGAGACCUGAAUGGCAAGAACAAGUUACUAAACCAAGCAUAUUUCUAUGUAAUCUUAUUUUGAAUUCUUCAUGUGUUCAUCCUUCUUUUAAUUCUUUGAAUGUAACUACUGAUCUUCCUUGGUACCCAGGAGUUUACUAGACAUGUUUCAGUUCAAUUACUUCCUCACUUCAUUUCAUUUAAUCAUAUAUUCAUGUUCUUUUUCUUUUCCGAAAUUAGUUGCUCUUUUUAUUUGCAUAGCUGUUAUGACAUGGUUUGUUUAUUGAAGCUUCAGUUUUUACUAAAACUGAAGCCUUUCUCCUAAUUCGUGUAUUUUUAUUUCUUGUUUAUUCUGAAUUUUGGUUACAAUUUGAUCUAGUUAGAGGCAGGGAAGCAGCUAUUAACUCCUGCUAGCAAUUUGCAUAAAUCCAUUCUUCACCUUCCUUGAGUUGCCACUUGCCGGGAUAUUACAAUUUUGUGAUAAAUAAAUCUGUAUUAACAUAGCUAUUAGUUAGCAAGCUACAGCCAUUAAGUUGAGCACUGUGAUGGAUGCCUCGAGAAGAAAAUAUAAAAAAGACCCAACAGCUUCAGAGUGCAUGGUGCAAUCAAUGGAAACUGUGUUUUGGAGCUGAAAUCUCUAGUUCCCUAUCCCUAGGAUUUGAGAUGGUGUUGUAUUUAAGUAUGUAUUUUUGUAGAGAAAAGAAGGAAAAAAAAAAGAAAAAAGAAUGCUUGUGUAAUAACCUUAUCUGUUUUGGAAAAUUAUAUCAAAGUGUCCAUCUAUUUACAUUUA